GACGAACGCUGGCGGCGUGCUUAACACAUGCAAGUCGAACGGAAAGGCCCUGCUUUUGUGGGGUGCUCGAGUGGCGAACGGGUGAGUAACACGUGAGUAACCUGCCCUUGACUUUGGGAUAACUUCAGGAAACUGGGGCUAAUACCGGAUAGGAGCUCCUGCUGCAUGGUGGGGGUUGGAAAGUUUCGGCGGUUGGGGAUGGACUCGCGGCUUAUCAGCUUGUUGGUGGGGUAGUGGCUUACCAAGGCUUUGACGGGUAGCCGGCCUGAGAGGGUGACCGGCCACAUUGGGACUGAGAUACGGCCCAGACUCCUACGGGAGGCAGCAGUGGGGAAUAUUGCACAAUGGGCGGAAGCCUGAUGCAGCAACGCCGCGUGCGGGAUGACGGCCUUCGGGUUGUAAACCGCUUUCGCCUGUGACGAAGCGUGAGUGACGGUAAUGGGUAAAGAAGCACCGGCUAACUACGUGCCAGCAGCCGCGGUGAUACGUAGGGUGCGAGCGUUGUCCGGAUUUAUUGGGCGUAAAGGGCUCGUAGGUGGUUGAUCGCGUCGGAAGUGUAAUCUUGGGGCUUAACCCUGAGCGUGCUUUCGAUACGGGUUGACUUGAGGAAGGUAGGGGAGAAUGGAAUUCCUGGUGGAGCGGUGGAAUGCGCAGAUAUCAGGAGGAACACCAGUGGCGAAGGCGGUUCUCUGGGCCUUUCCUGACGCUGAGGAGCGAAAGCGUGGGGAGCGAACAGGCUUAGAUACCCUGGUAGUCCACGCUGUAAACGGUGGGUACUAGGUGUGGGGUCCAUUCCACGGGUUCCGUGCCGUAGCUAACGCUUUAAGUACCCCGCCUGGGGAGUACGGCCGCAAGGCUAAAACUCAAGGGAAUUGACGGGGCCCCGCACAAGCGGCGGAGCAUGCGGAUUAAUUCGAUGCAACGCGUAGAACCUUACCUGGGUUUGACAUGGAUCGGGAGCGCUCAGAGAUGGGUGUGCCUCUUUUGGGGUCGGUUCACAGGUGGUGCAUGGCUGUCGUCAGCUCGUGUCGUGAGAUGUUGGGUUAAGUCCCGCAACGAGCGCAACCCUUGUUCACUGUUGCCAGCACGUUAUGGUGGGGACUCAGUGGAGACCGCCGGGGUCAACUCGGAGGAAGGUGGGGAUGACGUCAAGUCAUCAUGCCCCUUAUGUCCAGGGCUUCACGCAUGCCACAAUGGCUAGUACAGAGAGUGGCGAGCCUGUGAGGGUGAGCGAAUCUCGGAAAGCCGGUCUCAGUUCGGAUUGGGGUCUGCAACUCGACCUCAUGAAGUCGGAGUCGCUAGUAAUCGCAGAUCAGCAACGCUGCGGUGAAUACGUUCCCGGG
rnacentral:rRNA from 1 species